GUGAACUUUUCAAGGUCGAAGUUUCAACACGAGAGUGUCUUGAAAAUCGUUUUCUAGUCUAAGUUCAUAUUAGUUCCAUAUUUUUUUGGAUCUUUCUUAAUUGGAGUAAUCAUCAUUAUAAGCGUGUGGUGCAAUGCAGGAUCUUCCUGAAAGCCUUCCUGAAUUCCGGGUUGAAGAUCGUGUAGAUGACCGGGUUGAGGAACGAGUUGAUGUACCCGAGCCACGUUGUCAGAAUGAAGACAGUCACUCCAGGGGAGAAAGGGAGAUCGAAUUUCGUACAGAGAGCGUCCAGGACGGAGCACGUGAAGAAUGGUGCCCAGCAGAAUAAGAAGACUCCUGGUAAAUCAUAAGGAUAUUUAGUACAAGCGGCCCGCUCCGGCUCCGCUCGGGUCUUUAACAAAAAUUUCAACGAUA